rnacentral:lncRNA from 1 species
GCUUAUAAACGAUCGUGUUAAGUGAAUUCUUGGCAAAAGUUUCAUGCUUUUCAUAGUAACAAUUGCCUCGUCAAUGCUUAUAGUUUUCAUGAAACUUAAUGAUCUUUUAUUGUACCUUUAUUGUGCUUUUCACGUAGGGGACUUUUAGAGAAUGCUUUGAGUUGUUGUAUGUGCUUUCCCAUCCAAUUCAUUAACUUAAGGAGAACUUGAAGGUUAAAAAAGUGCUGUCACAGUUGACCUGGAGUAUUGAGUUUCAUGACUUAUUGAGAGAAGCAAUUGGAAAUCAAUUUGAAUGCAAGUGUGUCAUGUGUGGAGAAGAACCCCCUAUUUAACCCAUCACCCAUCAAUUCACCUAAAUUUGUCUAAGAAUCUAUUUAAAUUGUUUUUGUUUUGCUUUACUUAUUUUCGUCCAAAACCAACCCCCACUUUACUUUAUUGAGUCAUAUUAGUUAGAACUUGUUUUAGAUUGUGUUUUUAAGUGUUUUGAGUCAAGAUAUAAUCAAUUUUCGUCCAAAACUUGUGUUAGUAGCAGAAACUGCCUUAGUGUUGUUUUUAGGCAGUUUUGAGUCUUUUAAGUUUGUUUUGAGUCUUGUGA